rnacentral:ribozyme from 13 species
UCUUCUCCUUCUUCUCCUCCUUUUCAACGAGGAGGAAAUGGAAAAAGGAGGAGAAGAAGGAGAAGCAGGAAAAGGGGAAGGAAAACUGCACAUUUUCUGGAUUUUCCUCGUCUCUUGACAGAAGAAGGGUUCUCUCAUUUUCCUCCAUUCCUAAUCGAAAACCAAAGGGCCCAACUCAAAAUAAAAAAAAAAAAAAACAGAAGAAAAGUUUUU